GACGAACGCUGGCGGCGUGCCUAACACAUGCAAGUCGAGCGAAUGAAGUUCCUUCGGGCCCGGAUUUAGCGGCGGACGGGUGAGUAACACGUGGGCAACCUGCCUCAUAGAGGGGAAUAGCCUUCCGAAAGGGAGAUUAAUACCGCAUAAGAUUGUAGUACCGCAUGGUACAGCAAUUAAAGGAGCAAUCCGCUAUGAGAUGGGCCCGCGGCGCAUUAGCUAGUUGGUGAGGUAACGGCUCACCAAGGCGACGAUGCGUAGCCGACCUGAGAGGGUGAUCGGCCACAUUGGGACUGAGACACGGCCCAGACUCCUACGGGAGGCAGCAGUGGGGAAUAUUGCACAAUGGGGGAAACCCUGAUGCAGCAACGCCGCGUGAGUGAUGACGGCCUUCGGGUUGUAAAGCUCUGUCUUCAGGGACGAUAAUGACGGUACCUGAGGAGGAAGCCACGGCUAACUACGUG
rnacentral:rRNA from 1 species